CCUACGGGAGGCAGCAGUGGGGAAUUUUGGACAAUGGGGGCAACCCUGAUCCAGCCAUUCCGCGUGAGUGAAGAAGGCCUUCGGGUUGUAAAGCUCUUUCGCAAGGGAAGAAAACUUAUGAUCGAAUAAAUCAUGAGGUUGACGGUACCUUGAUAAGAAGCACCGGCUAACUACGUGCCAGCAGCCGCGGUAAUACGUAGGGUGCGAGCGUUAAUCGGAAUUACUGGGCGUAAAGCGUGCGCAGGCGGUUUUGUAAGUCGGAUGUGAAAUCCCCGGGCUCAACCUGGGAACUGCGUUCGAAACUGCAAGGCUAGAGUGUGUCAGAGGGGGGUUAGAAUUCCACGUGUAGCAGUGAAAUGCGUAGAGAUGUGGAGGAAUACCAAUGGCGAAGGCAGCCCCCUGGGAUAACACUGACGCUCAUGCACGAAAGCGUGGGGAGCAAACAGGAUUAGAUACCCUGGUAGUCCACGCCCUAAACGAUGUACACUAGUUGUUGGUAGAGUAAACUNUAUGAGUAACGUAGCUAACGCGUAGAGUUCGACCACGUGGGGAGUACGGUCGACAAGAAUUAAAACGUUAAGUAGAAGUUGACGGCGUGAGACGUGCGACGGACGACGACGAGGGAGGAGG
rnacentral:rRNA from 1 species